rnacentral:rRNA from 1 species
AUUGUAGCUUGCUACAUGACCUAGCGGCGGACGGGUGAGUAAUACUUAGGAAUCUGCCUAUUAGUGGGGGACAACGUUCCGAAAGGAGCGCUAAUACCGCAUACGCCCUACGGGGGAAAGCAGGGGAUCUUCGGACCUUGCGCUAAUAGAUGAGCCUAAGUCGGAUUAGCUAGUUGGUAGGGUAAAGGCCUACCAAGGCGACGAUCUGUAGCGGGUUUGAGAGGAUGAUCCGCCACACUGGGACUGAGACACGGCCCAGACUCCUACGGGAGGCAGCAGUGGGGAAUAUUGGACAAUGGGCGAAAGCCUGAUCCAGCCAUGCCGCGUGUGUGAAGAAGGCCUUAUGGUUGUAAAGCACUUUAAGCGAGGAGGAGGCUUACCUAGAUAAUACCUAGGAUAAGUGGACGUUACUCGCAGAAUAAGCACCGGCUAACUCUGUGCCAGCAGCCGCGGUAAUACAGAGGGUGCAAGCGUUAAUCGGAAUUACUGGGCGUAAAGCGCGCGUAGGUGGCCAUUUAAGUCAAAUGUGAAAUCCCCGAGCUUAACUUGGGAAUUGCAUUCGAUACUGGGUGGCUAGAGUAUAGGAGAGGAAGGUAGAAUUCCAGGUGUAGCGGUGAAAUGCGUAGAGAUCUGGAGGAAUACCGAUGGCGAAGGCAGCCUUCUGGCCUAAUACUGACACUGAGGUGCGAAAGCAUGGGGAGCAAACAGGAUUAGAUACCCUGGUAGUCCAUGCCGUAAACGAUGUCUACUAGCCGUUGGGUCCUUUGAGGACUUAGUGGCGCAGCUAACGCGAUAAGUAGACCGCCU